rnacentral:rRNA from 1 species
GACGAACGCUGGCGGCGUGCUUAACACAUGCAAGUCGAGCGGUAAGGCCCUUUCGGGGGUACACGAGCGGCGAACGGGUUGAGUAACACGUGGGUGACCUGGCCCUCAGCUCUGGGAUAAGCCUGGGAAACCGGGUCGUAAUACUCGGGAUAUGACUCCAUGACGCAGUGUUGUGGGGUCGAAAGCCUUGUGCGGCUUGAGGAUGGGCCCG